rnacentral:misc_RNA from 1 species
GAUGAAGAACGUAGCGAAAUGCGAUACGUAAUGUGAAUUGCAGAAUUCAGUGAAUCAUCGAAUCUUUGAACGCAUAUUGCGCUCUCUGGUAUUCCGGAGAGCAUGCUUGUUUGAGUAUCAGUAAACACCUCAACUUCCAUAUCUUUUUUGAAAUGGGAGUUGGACUUGAGUGAUCCCAACGCUUUUCCUCACCGAAAAGUGGCGGGUUACUUGAAAUGCAGGUGCAGCUGGACUUUUCUCUGAGCUAUAAGCAUAUCUAUUUAGUCUGCCUAAAAAACAGAUUAUUACCUUUGCUGCAGCUAACAUAAAGGAGAUUAGUUCUUGUGCCGACUGAUGCAGGAUUCACAAAGACAGGCUUCGGCCGACUUUGUAAACUCGAUCUCAAAUCAAGUAAGACUACCCGCUGAACUUAAGCAUAUCAAUAAGCGGAGGA